rnacentral:rRNA from 1 species
UACGUAGGUGGCAAGCGUUGUCCGGAAUUAUUGGGCGUAAAGAGCUCGUAGGCGGUGUGUCGCGUCGGUCGUGAAAACUUGGGGCUUAACCCUGAGCUUGCGGUCGAUACGGGCAUCACUUGAGUUCGGCAGGGGAGACUGGAACUCCUGGUGUAGCGGUGAAAUGCGCAGAUAUCAGGAAGAACACCGGUGGCGAAGGCGGGUCUCUGGGCCGAUACUGACGCUGAGGAGCGAAAGCGUGGGGAGCGAACAGG